GGCUCAGAUUGAACGCUGGCGGCAGGCCUAACACAUGCAAGUCGAACGGUAACAGGAAGCAGCUUGCUGCUUUGCUGACGAGUGGCGGACGGGUGAGUAAUGUCUGGGAAACUGCCUGAUGGAGGGGGAUAACUACUGGAAACGGUGGCUAAUACCGCAUAACGUCGCAAGACCAAAGAGGGGGACCUUCGGGCCUCUUGCCAUCAGAUGUGCCCAGAUGGGAUUAGCUUGUUGGUGAGGUAACGGCUCACCAAGGCGACGAUCCCUAGCUGGUCUGAGAGGAUGACCAGCCACACUGGAACUGAGACACGGUCCAGACUCCUACGGGAGGCAGCAGUGGGGAAUAUUGCACAAUGGGCGCAAGCCUGAUGCAGCCAUGCCGCGUGUAUGAAGAAGGCCUUCGGGUUGUAAAGUACUUUCAGCGGGGAGGAAGGUGUUGUGGUUAAUAACCGCAGCAAUUGACGUUACCCGCAGAAGAAGCACCGGCUAACUCCGUGCCAGCAGCCGCGGUAAUACGGAGGGUGCAAGCGUUAAUCGGAAUUACUGGGCGUAAAGCGCACGCAGGCGGUCUGUCAAGUCGGAUGUGAAAUCCCCGGGCUCAACCUGGGAACUGCAUUCGAAACUGGCAGGCUUGAGUCUUGUAGAGGGGGGUAGAAUUCCAGGUGUAGCGGUGAAAUGCGUAGAGAUCUGGAGGAAUACCGGUGGCGAAGGCGGCCCCCUGGACAAAGACUGACGCUCAGGUGCGAAAGCGUGGGGAGCAAACAGGAUUAGAUACCCUGGUAGUCCACGCCGUAAACGAUGUCUACUUGGAGGUUGUGCCCUUGAGGCGUGGCUUCCGGAGCUAACGCGUUAAGUAGACCGCCUGGGGAGUACGGCCGCAAGGUUAAAACUCAAAUGAAUUGACGGGGGCCCGCACAAGCGGUGGAGCAUGUGGUUUAAUUCGAUGCAACGCGAAGAACCUUACCUGGUCUUGACAUCCACAGAACUUUCCAGAGAUGGAUUGGUGCCUUCGGGAACUGUGAGACAGGUGCUGCAUGGCUGUCGUCAGCUCGUGUUGUGAAAUGUUGGGUUAAGUCCCGCAACGAGCGCAACCCUUAUCCUUUGUUGCCAGCGGUCCGGCCGGGAACUCAAAGGAGACUGCCAGUGAUAAACUGGAGGAAGGUGGGGAUGACGUCAAGUCAUCAUGGCCCUUACGACCAGGGCUACACACGUGCUACAAUGGCGCAUACAAAGAGAAGCGACCUCGCGAGAGCAAGCGGACCUCAUAAAGUGCGUCGUAGUCCGGAUUGGAGUCUGCAACUCGACUCCAUGAAGUCGGAAUCGCUAGUAAUCGUGGAUCAGAAUGCCACGGUGAAUACGUUCCCGGGCCUUGUACACACCGCCCGUCACACCAUGGGGAGUGGGUUGCAAAAGAAGUAGGUAGCUUAACCUUCGGGAGGGCGCUUACCACUUUGUGAUUCAUUGACUGGGUGAUC
rnacentral:rRNA from 1 species